UACUCGACGCUUAUUUUACCUCAAAUAAGUCCACCACCAAUUCAGAUUUAAUAAUCGUGAACGCUGAAAGAGAUCCCAUUGUGGCAGAAUGGAAAUUCAAAGCACCCUCUGUCCGGCUAGUGAAGACGACGACAACGAUGUAAAUCUUCACAAAAGUAGACAAAACCCAAAUGCGGUCUCCUCACGUCCAUUGCAUGAAUCCGGUCACCGCCUCGCCCUGAGCUCCAGCCGUGCCGAGCGGCGGAGGAUCGAUGGGUGCCGUCACCUUCCAUCCCAUCUCCUUCUCCGCCUCCCCCGCUCUUAGCCCCAGAAGCCACCACCAGCGAGCAUUCUUCUCCCCUUCUUCUUCUUCUUCUUCUUCUUCUUGGCUCGAGCUCGUGGGGAAUCGGCGGAUUCUUCUCUCACCGGGGCGUCUGGCUGUUCGAUUUCGUCCUCUGCAGGCGGCGAUUUCGGCCCGAAGAGAAGAAAUAUUCGACACUGAGCUGCGUCUGUGCUUGAACUUGCUACUGAUGAUGAAUUGUACGAGCUGGAAAGCAUUCUCUUUGGGCCGAGGUAAGUAUUCUCCUUUACCAUUCUUUUCCUUUAAUCUUUCAGAAAUUUAUUGUAUUAGUCUUUAUUUGGAA